GGGGCUGUCCCUAGUACGAGAGGACCGGGAUGGACGGACCGCUGGUGUGUCAGUUGUGCUGCCAAGUGCAUAGCUGAGUAGCUAAGUCCGGGAUGGAUAACCGCUGAAAGCAUCUAAGUGGGAAGCCAGCCUCGAGAUGAGUUCCCUCACAGAGUGAAUCUGGUAAGUGCGCUGGGAGAAUACCAGUUUGAUAGGCGGAAUGUGUACAGGCUGAGAGGUCUUUAGCAAAUCCGUACUAAAGCACGAGGGCUUAACCG
rnacentral:rRNA from 1 species